rnacentral:lncRNA from 1 species
AAACCGCUGCACGCCUCUGACGCGACAUCUGGACACGGCGCGGCGCUGGCGCUGCCGGAGCUGUCGACCCGGCCUGGCGCCGGACUAGUGUCCCUUUUGAUGAGAAGAAUAAGCCUCAUUCUGAUUCAACAGCAGAGAUCAAAGAAAAGACUUCUGUUUUCUGGCCACCAGAUAUAUGUUAUCUGUGCUUAAAGAAUUGAAAAACACACAUCAAAGGAGAAUUUUCUUGGAAAGAGAGGGUUCAAGCAUCACUGUUAGGUGUGCUGGAAUCCUUUCCCGAGUCAGUACUGCUUUCUAGAAGAAAACCGGGGAGAUCUAUUUGGAAUGUAUCUAACUCCAAAGAAACCAUCAGAGGUAACAGUAGAGACGGGGUUUCACCAUGUUGGCCAGACUGGUCUUGAACUCUCGACCUCGUGAUUCGCCCGCCUCGGCCUCCCAAAGUGCUGGGAUUACAGGUGUGAGACACCACACCCGGCGGAUAGAGAGAAUUUUGACAGGAUGAUUACGGAGCUAGGAAUUUCCUACGAAGCUGGGUGAUAAAAGGACAUUGGACAAAAACACAGAUAGCUUCAUUCUAUACCAGGAUCCAUCACUGAUUAGCUGUAUUAUAUUUGUCUCUACUGUAAUUUGAGGAGAAUGAUACCUGCUUCUCUAUCUUGUUGGGUUUUACAGAUGAUGUAUUGAAAGUUCAAUAAAAUCUAUAAACAAUA